rnacentral:tRNA from 1 species
CAAAGUGUAGCUUAACUAAAGCCUCUCGCUUACGCCGAAAAAACAUCUGUUUGAUCCAGAUCACUUUGAG